UACGGAGGGUGCAAGCGUUAUCCGGAUUUACUGGGUGUAAAGGGUGCGUAGGUGGGUAGGUAAGUCAGUGGUGAAAUCUCCGGGCUUAACCCGGAAACUGCCAUUGAUACUAUUUAUCUUGAAUACUUUGGAGGUAAGCGGAAUAUGUCAUGUAGCGGUGAAAUGCUUAGAUAUGACAUAGAACACCAAUUGCGAAGGCAGCUUACUACACAGUAAUUGACACUGAGGCACGAAAGCGUGGGGAUCAAACAGG
rnacentral:rRNA from 1 species